rnacentral:rRNA from 1 species
CGAGGGUGCAAGCGUUAAUCGGAAUUACUGGGCGUAAAGCGAGUGUAGGCGGCUACCUAAGUCGGAUGUGAAAGCGCCGGGCUCAACCUGGGAAUUGCAUUCGAAACUGAGUAGCUAGAGUUUGGUAGAGUUAAGUGGAAUUCCGGGUGUAGCGGUGAAAUGCGUAGAUAUCCGGAGGAACAUCAGUGGCGAAGGCGGCUUACUGGACCAAAACUGACGCUGAGGCUCGAAAGCGUGGGGAGCAAACAGGAUUAGAGACCCGUGUAGUCC